rnacentral:lncRNA from 1 species
UGCUAAAAAUUAUUAUUCCAACAAUUAUACUGUUACCAAUGACAUGAUUCUCUAAAAAUUCUAUAAUCUGAAUCAACAUGAUUAUUCACAGCCUACUCAUCAGCCUCGCCAGCCUACUAUUUUUUAACCAAUUCAGCGAUAACCCAUCCAACCUCUCAUUAAUUUUCUCUUCUGACCCGCUGACGUCACCGCUUCUAAUCUUAAUAGCCUGUCUACUGCCUCUUACAGUUUUUGCUAGAAGCCAAUAUCACCUGUCCAAUGAAUCACCCCCAUGAAAAAAGCUCUAUAUUUCUAUAUUGAUUUCCCUACUGACUUUUUUAAUCAGAGCAUUCACAGCCACAGAACUAAUUAUAUUUUAUAUCCCCUUUGAAGCCACACUAGUUCCUACCCUAAUUAUCAUCACCCACUGAGGCAACCAACCAGAACGCCUCAAUGCAAGCUCAUACUUCUAUUUUACACACUAGUAGGAUCCCUUCCUCUACUUGUAACACUUGUUUAUACUCAAAAUACCUCAGGUUCACUAAACAUGCUAGUAAUAAUACUUACUACCCAAGAGCCAUUAGCCUCCUGAUCCAACAAUCCUACAUGACUAGCAUGUAUCAUAGCUUUUAUAGUAAAAAUACCUCUAUACAGGUUUCACCUAUGACUCCGCAAAGCCCACGUAGAAGCCCCUAUUGCGGCUCGAUAGUACCUGGAGCAGGACUCCUAAAGCUAGGUGGCUACAGUAUAAUACAACUUACUCUUCUCCUCAAUCCCCUAACAGAACAUAUAGCAUACCCUUUCCUCAUACUGUCCCUAUGAGGGAGAGUUAUGACAAGCUCUAUUUGUCUAUGACAAACUGAUCUAAAAUCAUGUAUUGCCUACUCCUCUGUAAGCCACAUAGCACUUGUUAUCAUGGCUAUCCUCAUUCAGACCCCUUGAAGCUUAACAGGUGCAGUCACCCUUAUAAUUGCUCAUGGACUCACUUCAGCCUUACUAUUCUGCCUAGCAAAUUCAAACUACGAGCAGGCCCAUAGGUGAACCCUAUUACUUACCGAACGCCUUCAAACACUGCUUCUGCUAAUAGCCUCUUGAUGACUUCUAGCAAAUCUUACUAACCUUGCCUUACCCCACACCAUUAAUCUAGUAGAACUCUUUGUGACCGUGGCCUCAUUCUUCUGAUCUAAUAUCACUAUUAUGCUUAUAGGACUUAAUAUACUAAUUACAGCCCUUUACUCCCUAAAUAUGCUAAUCACAACACAACGAGGGACACUUGCAUAUUAUAUUAACAGUACUAAACCUUCCUUUACACGAGAGAACACAUUAAUACUUAUACAUCUUGCGUCUAUCUUCCUAUUAUCUUUAAACCCUAAACUUAUUAUGG